UAUGAGGCUUGGAGGGGGACGUGCAGCUGGUGAUCUUCCCAGAUGGAACUAAUGCAGUUAAAGGGGCUGCAUCCUCUCUUGACACUAUUCUGGUCUGACAGAACCCACAGAUGGAUGUUGUGCUGUGCAUUUCUGUGAAAGCAAGAAUCAUGAAGACUUGGAAAACCCUAGAAGAAAUGAAGAGCAGCGCCAAAUCAGGAGAACUUAAGGAAUAAUGGAGUUUCAGACCCAAAGAUCAAGCACUGUGAGGCAGGAGCCCUUCCAACCCAGCUCUGUCACUGUUAUAAAGAAUCUUAUUCUCUGAUUAGUGUCUGAUAACAUUUUCAUGCCUUACGUUCAUACAAAACAAAUCAAAUCAUUAAUUUGUUGGAAUAUACUUAGAGAAGUUUCAGUCAGUGGUAUAAUUUGUACUUCUCAGAUUUCUUAGACAGAAAAACUUGCCUCAUUUAAAUUUAAAAU